rnacentral:rRNA from 1 species
UACAGAGGGUGCAAGCGUUAAUCGGAUUUACUGGGCGUAAAGGGCGCGUAGGCGGUUAUUUAAGUUUGAUGUGAAAUCCCUGGGCUUAACCUAGGAACUGCAUUGAAUACUGGGUAACUUGAGUAUUGUAGAGGGUAGUGGAAUUUCCGGUGUAGCGGUGAAAUGCGUAGAGAUCGGAAGGAACACCAGUGGCGAAGGCGGCUACCUGGACAAAUACUGACGCUGAGGAGCGAAAGCGUGGGGAGCGAACAGG